CAUCGGCCCCGCGCUCGCCGGCGCCCACCUUCCCUUUGUUCCGCAGCCAUCUCGGGCCGGACGGGAGGCGGCGGCUUCGGCAGAGGGCCCGAGCGCCGGAGGCCUCUGGGAUGGUGUGGGACCGGGAGUGACCGCCUCUUGGCCUCCUGCCAGUCAGAAGCCCGCCUGGGCCGGGAGCGCUCGCAGCCUAAGUCCGUUACCCUAACCAAGCCGCGCACCGGUUGGCUCCAUCAGCAGACGUAGGAAUUUAAACUUGGCAGCUUGUCCACACAUUGAUUGUGACAGUUGUGUCAUUAAGAAGCUUAACCACAAUCCUGCCUAGAAACAAUGAUGAGUUUAUAAAUGGGACUUUAUUUUUCAGCCUAAAAAGAAAGAAAGAAAGAAAGAAAGAAAGAAAGAAAGAAAGAAAGAAAGAAAGAAAGAAAGAAAGAAAGAAAGAAAGAAAGAAAGAAAGAAAGAUGCUGGUUGUUUUGUUUUGUUUCGUUUUGGGGUUUUUUCGUUUUUGCUUUUUAAAGAGGUUGUAUGGUCCAACAGCUCUUUGGAAAUCUGAGGUUGUAAGUCGGCUGUCCUGACCUCCUCAUUUUUUUAGGAUAGCAGGAGUUCCUUUUGGAUUCCAAGUUUCCCUGCUACAUGAGACCUUUCCUAUUAGAGUGGCAAAUAGGUUAUGCUUAGUGAAACAGAAGUGUUUCGGUUUUGGGGGGAAGCAGUUUUGUUUUCUACUUUCACCCUCUGUCUGCGCACCGUCUUAGAGGACGGCUUCACCAGGUUGAAAACUUGCAGCGGCAAAAGGGGGAAUAUUACUUGGAAGGCACAGAUUUUCUUUUUUACUCUUACUGCAUAUGUAGUAAUAAAUGCCUCACAGUUCAACAAUCCAGUUCUUACUUCACCUAAUUUAAUGUUAGCCUGAUGAACUAUUAGUACUCCAGUUUUCUUUUUCCUAAAAGGGGCCCCCACCUUGAUCAUCAGCCUUGAUGUGGUUAUAGUUCUGCCCUAGGUUUUCAGGGACUUAUUAAAAUUCCUCCCACUGAACUACCUAUAAAAAUCUUGUAAAGUAAUCAAGCUUACUACCAUUGUAUAUUAUGAGCAGGAUAAGAUUUUGGUAAAGAUACAGAUGAUUCCAGUUGUAAAUAUUUCCAUUAUCAACAAGUGACACUGUAUUCAUUGUUUUUAUGACUAGUUUUUCUUUUUUAUACAUAAUGUUUAAAGCCUGCACAUGAACUCAGUUUUCCUAAAUACUGUAAAUGAACUGCAUUGAAAUGUAAAUGUACUAUCUUUAGAAGAAUCACUUUUAUCUGUGUUGGAUUCUGCAAAUACUGUUUUUAAGAAACCUGGUUAAUAAAGGAAGGCAAAACAA